rnacentral:misc_RNA from 1 species
UGUGGGAGCGAGCUUGCUCGCGAUGGCGAUCUACCAGUCAAUAUCUUUGCUGACUGAUACACCGCCAUCGCGAGCAAGCUCGCUCCCACA